rnacentral:rRNA from 1 species
CAGCCGCCGCGGUAAAACGUAGGGUGCAAGCGUUAAUCGGAAUUACUGGGCGUAAAGCGUGCGCAGGCGGUUAUAUAAGACAGAUGUGAAAUCCCCGGGCUCAACCUGGGAACUGCAUUUGUGACUGUAUAGCUAGAGUGCGGCAGAGGGGGAUGGAAUUCCGCGUGUAGCAGUGAAAUGCGUAGAUAUGCGGAGGAACACCGAUGGCGAAGGCAAUCCCCUGGGCCUGCACUGACGCUCAUGCACGAAAGCGUGGGGAGCAAACAGGAUUAGAUACCCGCGUAGUCCCUGUCUCUUAUAA